CGCGUAGGCGGUCCGGUAAGUCAGGGGUGAAAUCCCACAGCUUAACUGUGGAAGUGCCUUUGAUACUGCCGGUCUGGAGGGAGAUAGGGGUGUGCGGAACUUCCAGUGGAGCGGUGAAAUGCGUUGAUAUUGGAAGGAACGCCGGAGGCGAAAGCGGCGCACUGGAUCUCUUCUGACGCUGAGGCGCGAAAGCUAGGGGAGCAAACG
rnacentral:rRNA from 1 species